rnacentral:rRNA from 1 species
GGGGAAUCUUGCGCAAUGGACGAAAGUCUGACGCAGCAACGCCGCGUGGGUGAUGAAGGUCUUCGGAUCGUAAAGCCCUGUCGGCAGGGAAAAUGCUUACGCCGUCUAACAGAUGGCGUGGGUGAUUGUACCUGCAAAGGAAGCACCGGCUAACUCUGUGCCAGCAGCCGCGGUAAUACAGAGGGUGCAAGCGUUGUUCGGAAUUAUUGGGCGUAAAGGGAGUGUAGGCUGUUCUUUAAGUCUUCUGUGAAAUCUACGGGCUCAGCCUGUAACGUGCAGAGGAUACUGAAGAGCUUGAGUGUCGGAGAGGAUAGUGGAAUUCCAGGUGUAGAAGUGAAAUUCGUAGAGAUCUGGAGGAACACCAGUGGCGAAGGCGACUAUCUGGCUGACAACUGACGCUGAGACUCGAAAGCAUGGGGAGCAAAC